ensembl:lncRNA
GCUCUGGCUGCUCCAUGCUGACUGGCGGCUCUGGCUGCUCCAUGCUGACUGGCGGCUCUGGCUGCUCCAUGCUGACUGGCGGCUCUGGCUGCUCCAUGCAGACUGGCAGCUCUGGCGGCAUCCUGCAGGCUGGCAGCUCUGGCGGCAUCCUGCAGACUGGCAGCUCUGGCAGCUCCUUGCAGACUGGCAGCUCCUUGUAGACUGGCAGCUCCUUGCAGACUGGCAGCUCCUUGCAGACUGGCAGCUCCUUGCAGACUGGCAGCUCUGAACAGGCGGGAGACUCCGGCAGCGCUGUAGAGGAGGAAGGCUCUGGCAGCGCUAAACAGGCGGGAGACUCCGACAGCGCUGUAGAGGAGGAAGGCUCCGGCAGCGCUGGACAGGCGAGGCGCACUGAAGGCCUGGUGUGUGGUGCUGGCACUGGUGGUACUGGGCCGAGAACACGCACAGGAAGCCUGGUGCGGGGAGCUGCCACCGGAGGACUGGUGUGUGGAGGUGGCACAGGAUGGACCGGACCGUGAAGGCGUACUGGAGAGCUUGAGAGCAGGGCUGGAACAGAACGUGCAAGGCUAGGGAGGUGCACAGGAGGCCUGGUGCGUGAGGCUGGCACAAUCUUCACCAGCCGACUACCACGCACCUCAGGACGAGUAUGGAGCGCUGACCCAGGUGCCAUCAAAUCCCCGACACGCUCCGUCGGGCGAAUUCCGUACCUAAAGCACCAACACAGCAACUCCCUCAUAACUCUCUCCUCCAAUUUCCCCAUUAACUCCUUCACAGUCUCUGCUUCGCUCACCUCCAACACCGGCUCUGGUUCUGGUCUCCUCCUUGACUCCUCACGUUAAACAGGGGGAGUUGGCUCAGGUCUGAACCCUGACUCUGCCACACUCUCCCUGGGCCCCCCCCCAAGAAAUUUUUGGGGCUGACUCUCGGGCUUCCUUCCGCGCCGCCGUGCUUGUCUCUCCAACUCCAUUCUCCUAUAACCUUCCGGGCAUCGCUCCAUCGAAUCCCAGGCGGGCUCUGGCACUCUCCCUGGGUCGACCGCCCACCUGUCUAUCUCUUCCCAAGAAGUAUAGUCCAUACUCUUGCAGUCCAAACCGUACUCCCAUGUCCAUUCCUCUUUUCGCUGCUGUUGCUGCCUUUCACCACGCCGCUUGGUCCUGUUGUGGUGGGUGAUUCUGUAACGGUUUUCCUUAGGUGAAAGAGAGUCGGACCAAAAUGCAGCGUUGUGAUGAUUCAUGUUUGUUUAAUAAAGGAAAAACUAUACAUGAAUAAACUACAAAAUAAUGAAAUGUGAAAACCUAAACAGUCCUAUCUGGUGCAAACACAGAGACAGGAACAAUCACCCACGAAACACUCAAAGAAUAUGGCUGCCUAAAUAUGGUUCCCAAUCAGAGACAACGAUAAACACCUGCCUCUGAUUGAGAACCAUUCCAGACAGCCAUAGACUAUGCUAGACACCCCUACUAUAAUACAAACCCAAUACCUAACAAAAACCCCAAGACAAAACACACCACAUACAAAACCCAUGUCACACCCUGGCCUGACCAAAUUAAUAAAGAAAACACAAAAUACUAAGACCAGGGCGUGACAAUUGCUUUCCGAAAGCAUUGUAUAUUCACACACGUCAACUCCUCAUUGGAAAACGUUUAAAAAAAGAAUGUAUAUACAGUAAUGUAUAUAAUUAUAAUUUUUUGAUUUAAAACAAAGUUUGCAUUCAACUUCAAUGAUAAAUGCAUUAACACCAGUAACUGGAAUUAAUACAAGUUUCACAUUUCUAAAUUCCAAUUCCAAGAAUAUUUUUAUUUUCCAAUUAAAAUUCUAUUUUAAUUCAGAUAGUCUAAAUUCUAAUUUCAGUUCUAUUCCAAUGAUGGUUUUCUUCUUCCAUUCCAUAUAAAUUAAUAUCUAGCUGUUGGGUCACAUAGUUGAGUAAUUAUUGCUGGGUAAUUGAGCUAUGACCCACCAGGUGACAGGGGAAGACUGGAGGUGUGGCUUAGUAGGGGUGUGACUUUCAAAGAGUUAUUUUUGGUCACCCGUGAGAGAAUUGUAAUUCCUGUUCAUCUUGUAUUGCAUUGUCAUUACACUGUAGAGUGGUUCUCUAAGCCAAUGAUAGACCCACAGUUGCUUGAGAGAGAGCAAGAGCUUGCAAGACAGGACUAGCUUAUCUCAAUAUUGUAAUUGACCAUUUAGAGGUAAUGAAAUUGCACCGGAGUAUGAUGACCGAAGUAUGAAAUGUACAAUUUGUUGGUUUGAAAUUAUGGGAUCUGGCAGCUCUUGACUGACGGGCGGCUCUGGCAGCUCCUGACUGACGGGCGGCUCCUUGGCACCACUCCUCCAGGCUGGAUGACCCCUUCAUCCCGGACCCUCCAGAGUGCAGGCACAGGUUGAACCGGGCUGUGGGUGAGCACUGGAGAUCUGGUGCAUACCACUCACACCUCUCCCUCAAUACCCACAUUCGCCUGGCACGGAAUGAAAAGUCACUGAACACGAAAAUACAAAAUAACAAAGUGAAAGCCAGAAACAAAAAAAUGAAACAAUUCUCUCUGGUGAAGACACAGAGACAGAAAACACUCACCCACAACUAAAAUGGGGAAAACAGGCUACCUAAGUAUGAUUCUCAAUCAGAGACAAUGAACGACACCUGCCUCUGAUUGAGAACCAUACUAGGCCAAACACAUAAACACAACACAGAAAAAAGAACAUAGACUACCCACCCCAACUCACACCCUGACCAAACUAACACAAAGACAUAAUAAAGGAACUAAGGUCAGAACGUGACAAGGCCUGAGAAGAGGAGAACUCUGUCGGUUUGCUUUAGUCAACAAAAGAAACAAAGAUAAUGGUUAUUUGUUAAUGUUUAAAUGUUACAGUCAGUGAGAGUCAACAAGAUAACUCUGGAUAUGUGUUAAAGUGUUAAAGUCUUACAUUACCAUGGUUUAGCAGUGGAAUGUUGAGGUUCUCAUUGGAUAUGUCUCUCUCUGUCUGACUGGAAGCUGUUUGUUCUCUGUUCUCUCUUUCAUAAGGAACUUGUCUUUCUCUGUGCGUGUGGAGUGUACGUGUGGAGUGUGCAAGUGCAUGUGUAGGAGCAGCUGUAUUAUGGGAUCAGUAAGUCGUUUGAGCAAAGCGACAGAGAAAGAACUGGGUCAGACCUUCUGAUUACAACACAAAGACAGUUUGCGAGACCAACGGGAACACACACUGACAUACUCACGCCCGGCCGUCCGCCUGCCCGCACACACACACACACA